GCCCGGCUAGCUCAAUCGGUAGAGCGUGAGACUCUUAAGGCUUUUAAGGUCCUCCGUAAUCUCAAGGUUGUGGGUUCGACCCCCACGUCGGGCU
rnacentral:tRNA from 1 species